rnacentral:rRNA from 1 species
UACGAAGGGGGGCUAGCGUUGCUCGGAAUCACUGGGCGUAAAGCGCACGUAGGCGGAUUGCUAAGUCAGGGGUGAAAUCCUGGAGCUCAACUCCAGAACUGCCUUUGAUACUGGCGAUCUUGAGUCCGGGAGAGGUGAGUGGAACUGCGAGUGUAGAGGUGAAAUUCGUAGAUAUUCGCAAGAACACCAGUGGCGAAGGCGGCUCACUGGCCCGAUACUGACGCUGAGGCACGAAAGCGUGGGGAGCAAACAGG